rnacentral:rRNA from 1 species
UAGGGAAUCUUCCACAAUGGACGCAAGUCUGAUGGAGCAACGCCGCGUGAGUGAAGAAGGUCUUCGGAUCGUAAAGCUCUGUUGUUGGUGAAGAAGGAUAGAGGCAGUAACUGGUCUUUAUUUGACGGUAAUCAACCAGAAAGUCACGGCUAACUACGUGCCAGCAGCCGCGGUAAUACGUAGGUGGCAAGCGUUGUCCGGAUUUAUUGGGCGUAAAGCGAGCGCAGGCGGAAUGAUAAGUCUGAUGUGAAAGCCCACGGCUCAACCGUGGAACUGCAUCGGAAACUGUCAUUCUUGAGUGCAGAAGAGGAGAGUGGAACUCCAUGUGUAGCGGUGGAAUGCGUAGAUAUAUGGAAGAACACCAGUGGCGAAGGCGGCUCUCUGGUCUGCAACUGACGCUGAGGCUCGAAAGCAUGGGUAGCGAACAGGAUUAGAUACCCUGGUAGUCCAUGCCGUAAACGAUGAGCGCUAGGUGUUGGGGACUUUCCGGUCCUCAGUGCCGCAGCAAACGCUUAAGCGCUCCGCCUGGGGAGUACGACCGCAAGGUUGAAAC